AUGAAUUACCUGCCACAAGCAAAAGACUUAAAUUAUCUUUGUGAUCAGUCAGUUACUACAUAUAGAGACCUUUCAGUCUUAUGCAAUUUUGUCAGCUGCUUACUCUUCCCAGCUCUUAGAAUUCAGAUCCAUUUGCAGUUACAUGGGUUUUCCUGCUUUUUCACGGUGAUGUGCGAUUUCGCGGUGGGUUUCUUUUCCAUAGAUAUAUUGAUUGUUGACAAAAUUAAGAAAACUAUUGGAGUAUAUUUCGAUGACACUAUUGGAUAA